UUGUAAUCUCGUUGUAACGAGAACUCAUGGUAAAGUGCAAGUGGAUGAUGAUAACGUGAUUCGGUAGGUGGAUCAGACUAUCGUCUGCUAUUUCCAAGAUGCUGGCAGCUACAGUUACCGUCAGGCAACUGAAAAAUCCAGAAACAGGAAUUGAUGUCUCUGUACCAACAUAUGAGGAAAUUCCAGGAUUACUAACUAAAUCAGUGGAAUACCAAGUUACUGUGGUAACAAAUCUGGCAAUAUUCAAAUCUCCAAAGCAUAAAGAAUCUGACAUUGUUCAGUUUGUGGUUGGAAAGAAAUUUAAUGAGUUUGAAGAUUUGCAUACAUCCCUGAAUGAUAAAUAUUCUGGUAUAGCUUUUCCACCAUUUCCUAAAAAGGUAUUAUUAACUACAGACGAUGUAUAUAAAGAAAGACGAUCUGCAUUAGAUAAGCUCAUGAAGUUCUGCAGCAAAACUGAACGCCUUUCUAAGAGUUAUCUAUUUUUACAGUUUCUUGGUGCACCACCAAGUAAACUACAGAAAAUGGAAAGUUUGGUUAUCAGAGAAGAUGCUGAAGAUGAUGGUGAAUGUGCUCCUACAGAAAAUAACAAAAAGUUUGUAAAAAGUCCAAUGGAUGAUGUUAACAUUUUUGGUGAAGAGGAAGAAGAACCCCAAGAAUUGUUUUCAGAUAUAGGAACAAAUCAGAAGAAAUCGGAUUCAAACCUUUUUGUUGGUGAUUCCAAAGCAAAAUCUUACAAAGUGAAAAUGUUUGAAGAAGAAAACUUGGAGGAAGAAUCUGUUAAAAGUAUACUGAGUCCCGUCACAGAAGAAAAAACAUUAUCUCCGGAAAACAAAUCCAAUUUAUUUUCAGAUGAUCUUCUUCAAGUGGAAGACGACCUUUCGCAACUGCUAGCAGUGAACAAAAAACCCAGGAAGCCAGUGCCAACCCCAAGAACACACAAACCUAAAAAAGCAGCAGAUGCAGCGCAGAUAGCUAAGCAGCCCAGCCCUGUUUUACCAACAUCUGUUGAUGAAUUUGCAAAAUAUAUUGAAGAAAACACGGAUAGAGAGGAGCAUUGUUUGGAAGUGAAGUGUGUAGAAUGUGGUCGUCUCGAAAAAGUUGGGUUUCAGCUGCACAAGACUUCCUCGAUUGUGUUGAGAAAGAUGAAAACUUUCUGAAAAUGAUAACAGGUGAUGAAUCAUGGAUCUAUGACCCCAAAACCACAACUAAUAUCAAAUCCCACAUGAAAGGAACAAGAUCUCAGUGUAUGCAACAACAAAAUGCUGCAGAUUACACAACUCUGUGCUUGAAAGAUCAGGUCUCCUGCGUACUGAAGCCUUGAUCAUUGAACAUCAUCUCCGAUGGUCAGGUCACGUUUGUCGGAUGAAAGAACACCGCCUUCCCAAGAUCUGUCUCUACGGUGAACUGUCUGAAGGAAAACGUCCUUGAGGCGGUACAAGGACCAACUCAAAUCAACCUUGAAAAACACCAACAUUGACCCCGCACACUGGGAGGAUAUCUCGGCAAACAGAUCCCUCUGGAGACACACCAUCAAAACGGGUUCAGCGGACUUCGAGAAAGCCCGAGUCGCAGGAGCUGAACUCAAGAGACGAGAGAGAAAGCAGCGCCUUCUCCUUCCCAAACCAACCCCUUCUAUCCCUUGUCCACAAUGUCCCCGUAUGUUUCAUGCAACCCUUGGAUUGCGGUUCAAACACCCAGGAAAAUUAACUGGAUUGCAAGCUCGGAAACACGAGACGCAGCCAACUACUACUACUACUACUACUACUAAUAGAUUACACAAUAUAGAAUGCAUAAUGAUAACUGUUCUGGAUCUCUCAUUGUUGAGGUUCACAUGGCGUUUUGUCCCUCUAGGAAUUAACACAAAAAAGAUGCGACAGUUGGAGGUAGAGUGGUUUGUACCAGCACUGCGCUGUUGCUCAUUUUCUGCCGGUAAGACAGGAGCAGCAUGAAAUGAAAUGGCUUGCUUAAGGACACAGUGCACUGCUUAGUCAAGGAAUUGAACCUGUGACUUUCUGAUCAUAAGCGCAACACAUUAACCACUAGGUAAUGUGCCGUCACAUAUACUAAAUUUAAUACAUCAUCAUCAUUUACUGUCCAUUUUUCCAGGCUAGCAUGGCUCAGACAGAAUUUGUCGAGGCAGGUUUUCUGUAGCUGGAUGCCCUUCCUGUUGCCAAUCCUCACCUGUUUCCAGCCCAGGUCAUAUUUCCCUAAGCUUUUCAAGGAAAACUGGAAAUGAACGAUCUUCGUAUGAUGAUGAUGAUGAUGAUGAUGAUGCUCAUUUCAAACAAUUACAAGAUGUCUAAACAAGAGUAUGCACAUAUGCAUACAUGUUUAUACACACAAAAUGUGAAUAUAUAUAACAAAAUUACAUAUAAAGAAAAUCACAUCUUUAAAUGUAGAAUUCACCUCACAAAGCCAACAAUUUCUGUUGUAUUAACAUAUUCAGAUACAGAAAAUAUCAUUGAAAUUAAUAACAUUUUUGAAAAUUCCUGUUGACACAAUAUUUUCAAGUUGAUCCAAAAUAUAUAUAUAUAUAUAUAUAUAUAUAUAAAAUAAAUGUUAGAGGUAAUACUUGACAAUUGUAUAUAUAUAUAUAGAUAGAUAUGUACGUACAUACAUAUGAUGGGCUUCUUCCAGUUUCUGUCUAUCAAACCUACUCACAAGGCUUUGGUCAGCUCAGGUUUAUAGUAGAAGACACUUACCAAGGUGCUGUGUAGUGGGAUUGAACCCAAGACCACAUGGUUGGGAAGUAAGCUUCUUAACUACACAACCGCACAUGGACUUUUGUAUGAAUUAUUAUUUUUUUUUUUUAUAAAAUAAAAUAUCAACAGAAA